rnacentral:misc_RNA from 1 species
UCUCCGUAGGUGAACCUGCGGAGGGAUCAUUACUGAGUGAGGGCCUUCGGGCUCGACCUCCAACCCUUUGUGAAUCGUACUCGUUGCUUCGGGGGCGACCCUGCCGUUUCGACGGCGAGCGCCCCCGAAGGUCUCCAAACACUGCAUCUUUGCGUCGGAGUUUAAAACAAAUGAAACAAAACUUUCAACAACGGAUCUCUUGGUUCUGGCAUCGAUGAAGAACGCAGC